rnacentral:rRNA from 1 species
UACGUAGGGGGCAAGCGUUGUCCGGAUUUAUUGGGCGUAAAGAGCGUGUAGGCGGCCAGGGAGGUCCGUUGUGAAAACUCGAGGCUCAACCUCGAGACGCCGAUGGAAACCCCCUGGCUAGAGUCCGGAAGAGGAGAGUGGAGUUCCUGGUGUAGCGGUGAAAUGCGCAGAUAUCAGGAAGAACACCCGUGGCUAAGGCGGCUCUCUAGUACGGUACUGACGCUGAGACGCGAAAGCGUGGGGAGCGAACAGG